GUUGACCUCGGAUCAGGUAGGAAUACCCGCUGAACUUAAGCAUAUCAAUAAGCGGAGGAAAAGAAACCAACAGGGAUUGCCCCAGUAACGGCGAGUGAAGCGGCAACAGCUCAAAUUUGAAAUCUGGCCCCCCCCCCGCGGGAGGUCCGAGUUGUAAUUUGCAGAGGAUGCUUCUGGCGCGGCGCCUUCCGAGUUCCCUGGAACGGGACGCCACAGAGGGUGAGAGCCCCGUCCGGUCGGACGCCUAGCCUGUGUGAAGCACCUUCGACGAGUCGGGUAGUUUGGGAAUGCUGCCCUAAAUGGGAGGUAUAUGUCUUCUAAAGCUAAAUACCGGCCAGAGACCGAUAGCGCACAAGUAGAGUGAUCGAAAGAUGAAAAGCACUUUGAAAAGAGGGUUAAACAGUACGUGAAAUUGUUGAAAGGGAAGCGCUCAUGACCAGACUUGGGCCCGGGGGAUCACCCGGCGUUCUUUCGCCGGGGCACUUCGCCGGCUGCCCAGGCCAGCAUCAGUUCGCGGCGGGGGACAAAGGCUUCGGGAACGUAGCUCCCUACGGGGAGUGUUAUAGCCCGCUGCGCAAUGCCCUGCCGCGGACUGAGGUUCGCGCUUCCGCAAGGAUGCUGGCGUAAUGGUCAUCAGCGACCCGUCUUGAAACACGGACCAAGGAGUCGUCUUCGUAUGCGAGUGUUCGGGUGUCAAACCCCUACGCGGAAUGAAAGUGAACGCAGGUGAGAGCUUCGGCGCAUCACCGACCGAUCCUGAUGUUCUCGGAUGGAUUUGAGUAGGAGCAUACGGGGCCGGACCCGAAAGAAGGUGAACUAUGCCUGUAUAGGGUGAAGCCAGAGGAAACUCUGGUGGAGGCUCGCAGCGGUUCUGACGUGCAAAUCGAUCGUCAAAUAUGGGCAUGGGGGCGAAAGACUAAUCGAACCUUCUAGUAGCUGGUUUCCGCCGAAGUUUCCCUCAGGAUAGCAGUGUUGAG
rnacentral:rRNA from 2 species